AGGGUGUGAGGGGAAUUAAAAAGCAAGCAAGCAAGCAUGUUGGGUUUCUGCGUAGGGGGAGUGAAUCAGUGAGGAGGGAUGAAGAUGGGGGGAGCAUACUGGGGGACGCGAGUGAUGGAAAUAGUGAAGAAGCAGCGAUUCAGGGGGUUUGGUUUGGAAGAGAAUCAAACUCACCACCACCCGCAAAACUAAACGCCAAGAAGCGUAUCCAACGCGUCUGGCAGAAUGAAGCUGUGCUGAGGGCAUGCUCACAGGCACCACCUUCAAAGACAAAUGCGCCAGCGUCCGGGGCCCAACAAGAAUAAGAAAACUGAAGGGUCUCUAUUUUUAAUCUGUUAAGGAUUUGGUAAAAGCCUUGGUCAGUAAGUAUUCUAGGUUAUGGAUAUGUUUUUUUUUUUUUUUACUUGAAAUAACAUAAAAAAGUGUUUGGUUUGACAAAUAGGAUCAGUUGUGUGGUGGUAUUAUUUUGGUGUUUCAACUUUGAAACAUGUCCACACAUUUUGAAUCAUGAAACUAGAUUAUGAGGAGGACCUUUUGGAGAAAAGAGUCCUUAGAUUAAGGCCAAUCAAACCAAUAAUUGUGGAUAUU